rnacentral:lncRNA from 1 species
AAAGAAAGAAAGAAAGAAAGAAAGAAAGAAAGAAAGAAAGAAAGAAAGCAAACAAAGGAAGGAAGGAAGGAAGGAAGGAAGGAAGGAAGGAAGGAAGGAAGGAAGGAAGGAAGGAAAGAGGGCAUUGCUUCAAAUCUGUUGGAGAUAUGUAAUUUAAAAAUCUCAUUGGAUAUUUCUAAUACACUACUAAUGAUACCUUAGAAACUGGCUCAAUGAUAGAGGGAUUUCUAAGCAGUGUAAUUUCUACAUUCGAUGAACAGCUCCAUGAAUAUGCAAUAUAAAGAAUGAUUGCAGCUAACAUUGUUUCUAAUAAGGCUUAUUCCAAUCUCUGGGUUGCUUUUAAUAAUCACAUAGUCAUUCAGAAGAUUUGUUCUCCUGCUCCAUUUUGAAGGCUGUUCUGUGCUUCAUAAAAUCAGUUCAUAUAAAACCACUGAGUUGAUUUUUCAUUUUGCCUUUUCUGGAUACCUAGGGAUACAAUUGCAACUUGUCAUUUAUUCUAUAUGCAUUUUUGAAAGAUAACAUUUUUUUGUAUUUUGGGGCUGUUGUAAAUAAAAUGCUGUAAUUACAUAGCUUAUAAACAACAAACAACUGUCACAUCCCAACCUAGAGGCUGAGAAGGCCAAGUAGAGCCAGCAGAGGUGGGUUCUAGUGUGAGCACACACUUCCUGCCUCACAGAUGAUGGUCUUGCUGUGCUUUCUCCUGUCAGAUGGGCAAAGGAUGUUCUUGGAGGCCUCUUUUAUGAGCACAAUAAGCCAAACCUGAGAGUCAGAGCCCUCAAUGUGAGCCCUUCACACAGGCUCCGCCACCACACACCCCCGUCUUGUGACUAAAUCUCAACAUAAUGGACUGGGAGAGUGGAUGGCACAAGGGUUCUGACUGUCACACCUGGGUGCGUGUCAUUCAAUAAGAGCAAUGAUGACUUGUUCCACCUAGAAAGUGCUCUGAAUAGAGAGGCAUCUCAAUGCAAUUUCUUCACCAUUACUCACUCAUCUUUUUGUGAUAUCACUUUCCUUUAUUAUCCAGAAACAUAAGUGGAGGAGGGAGAGCUACAGGGCAUGGAUCCACAGAAGAGGAAGUAGGAUAUCACUGUGAUAUAUUCUUUGUUUGUUUGUUUGUUUGUUUGUUUGUUUGUUUGAACUGAGUGUCAGAGAUCCUAGCAGGGUUCUACUCUAUGGACUGGAUGCCUCUUCUGUGAGGUCUUGAAUUCAUGGAAGUGAUUAAAAUCUGAUUUGGAUAGAUUAGCAUAUCUCAGAGAUUUCUAAUUAACUGAGAUUCUCUUCCCCUUGUCUUUUUUUCUCCCUCUUUCUUUUCAUUUUCAUUUUCAUUUUUUUUCUUGCCUUGAUUUUUGUUUUUAUUAAGUCAUUUUUUUUCUUUGUUAGGCAGAAUCUCACAUCAUAACCCCAAAUGACCUGUUACUCACCAUGUGGCCCAGCUGUCUUCAAACUCACCAGCCUCCUGCCUUAGCCUUCUAAAUGCUUGGAUUACAGGCAUGACCCACCAUAACUGGCUUUGUUUUAGUUUCAGAGAAGAUGAAACUGAUGUGCGUCAAAAAGCUGGUAGUCUGUCAAGGAAAUGAGCUGAACAUGUCUGUGUACAGCUUUUGUGCCAUCCCUGGAUGAGCGAGCUGUCUGCCUCUAUGUUCUCCACAAAAUGGAAUAUAGCUGUACACCCAAGCCAAGUUAUGGAGGCUGGGAAGACCUAGAAUGUGGCAUCACUAUUUGCUGAAAUUUUUAAUAUAAUGCCUCUUAGCCUGGUUUGGAGAAAACGUCACAGAGAGGCACCAUUUGUUGUGGUUUUACAUGAAAAUUUUCUGACCCUGAACCUGGUUUGAUGGAAAUCAUUUGCUGAGGAAACCAUGCCGAUUACCGACCGAGCUCUCAAUGGAAAAAUGCAGUCGGCGUGAACCACGCACGAACACAGCAGAGAAAGAAGAAAACACACACCACGAGGAACCCUAAUAGGACAAUACAUUAUAAGUCACAGUGCUACGGAGAAACCCAGUAGCCACAUGGAAGCAGAGACCAUGCAUAUGCAUCUACUCCGCAGCUCUGUGAAUGUCAGCAGCUCCCACGGACUGGAGAUCCCGUGAGAUCCCGUGAGAUCUCACCCAUAGCCUCAUGGUACAUCCACUUGGUGUGCUGGGAGAGUCAGGAUGAGGACCUGAGAAGAACAGCAGCUUGAACCUGACUUCAUUUAACAGCCCACUGCCCUCUUGCCAAGAACCCAUCACAGACCUUCCCAGAAGAGAGGGAUGAGCCUCACCUAUGAAUAAGUCCUCAGAAACUCAAAUUUGAUUCUAAUGGAUUGUUUUCUCAGAAAGACUGAGCAUGUCCCCCCACAUCUCUGUCAUUUCCCACAGUAGUAACCUCUGCAGAUGCCACAUAGAAAACAAAACAAAACAAAAAAACAUGAGGUUGGUGGGCAGAUAGGCAGGGUAUAAACAAACAGCCUUGUAACCCAGAAGCUGUGUGAUAUACAGUAAACUUCACAACACUGAAAAGAUGUCCUAUCUGUUAAAAUGGGGUAAUAACAACUACCCGAAUGUUUAGGAAUAGAACUUCAAUAAAUGAUACAUUUUAUAGUACAGCAGACCAUCCUGUAAAGGUUUCAUCCUUCACUGUGGUGAUAAAUAUCCCAAACCACAUUGAAAAGCAUUGCAUCUACAUUUAUCUACACUGUAACUGUACUGUAAAUCAUGGGGGAGGGGAGAAUCAUAAAAACACCACCUGUCACCGUGUCAUUAAAGCAAGUUGGAAGUGAUACUUACAGAAACACAGCAAGAGCACCCCCAGUCACACAGUUCAAUCUCUUAGCAAGCGUUUUCUUUCUAGCCCAGUGGUUCUCAGUUUGGAAUUUUUGGCACUGCCUAGAGAUAGUUUUGUUGUUAAAACUGAGAAAAGAGCCGGGCGUGGUGGCACACGCCUUUAAUCCCAGCACUCAGGAGGCAGAGGCAGG